ACUAUUCACCCUGUAUUUUCCAUAUUAUCUCUGCGUAUUUGUACCUGUACCAUUUUAAAACUUGUUUAACAAUUUUGUAUCGCUGCCCAGAAAUGUAUACCAAUGUAUAUGGGUUCCUAUGUACAUAUCUUUUGCAUUUUUCCGUAUUUUAUCUGAAAUCGGCGUCUCUAUAGGUUAACCUGCAAUUCAUAUUUAUUUUUUACACAUAUUUAAGGUAUAAUAUCUCUGUAUAUCAGUGUAUAUAGGCUGUAUAUCAGACUGUUUUUCAACUUUUCAAAAGUUGAAAGUUCCCUUUAGCAACCUAUCUUCACUGAACAAGUCCAGAUUUCGAAUUUGGAUCCACCUGUAUUUUAGACCUGUAUAUCAGUAUAUAACUGUGUAUAAAAUAUGUAUAUUGUUGUAUACAUCUUCUUCAAAUCCCUGCAAAAUAAUUUCCAGCCACUUUUCCAGCACUGCAUUUAUGCUGUUUCGACCUGCAAAUCAGCUUUGGCCUUCUAGACUUUUGAAAAUGGAUGACUCGAGGAUUUGCAACUCGUAGGAAUGUGAGAAUGG
rnacentral:misc_RNA from 1 species